rnacentral:rRNA from 1 species
UUCGAGGUGGACGAGGAGGGUGAGGGCAUUGUCGACGCACCAAAAGGAAGAGCGGGCAAUUACAGCAACGUCGAUGACAUCUUACUAUGCAAUACUUGGUUGCAAGUGUCGAGGGAUCCAUCCGUUGGAGGUGAUCAAAGUAGAGAUGCUUAUUGGGGGCGGAUGAAAGAACACUUUGAUGUUCACAACUUGAGUGGAAUUCACCGCUCCGAGAGAUCACUUCGGUCCCGAUGGUCGACAAUCAACUCGGAUUGUCAAAGGUGGGCGGCCUGUCAAAAGGCGGUUGACAAGUUGAACCCAAGUGGCACAAAUGAGGACGAUAGUAAGUGGCAUUUCAUACAUGUUCAUCAUACUUGUUGUUGGUGCUAA